GAUGAAGAACGCAGCGAAAUGCGAUAAGUAGUGUGAAUUGCAGAAUUCAGUGAAUCAUCGAAUCUUUGAACGCACAUUGCGCCCAUUGGUAUUCCAUGGGGCAUGCCUGUUCGAGCGUCAUUUGUACCUUCAAGCUCUGCUUGGUGUUGGGUGUUUGUCCCGCCUCUGCGUGUAGACUCGCCUCAAAACAAUUGGCAGCCGGCGUAUUGAUUUCGGAGCGCAGUACAUCUCGCGCUUUGCACUCAUAACGACGACGUCCAAAAGUACAUUUUUACACUCUUGACCUCGGAUCAGGUAGGGAUACCCGCUGAACUUAAGCAUAUCAAUAAGCGGAGGA
rnacentral:misc_RNA from 1 species